UACGUAGGGACCGAGCGUUGUCCGGAAUCAUUGGGCGUAAAGAGCGUGUAGGCGGCUCGCUAAGUCUUGCGUGAAAUCUCGGGGCUCAACCCCGAGCGGUCGUGAGAAACUGGCGGGCUAGAGUGCGGGAGAGGAGAGUGGAAUUCCUGGUGUAGCCGGUGAAAUGCGUAGAUAUCAGGAGGAACACCUGUGGUGUAGACAGCUACUGGACCAUUCUGACGCUGAGACACGAAAGCGUGGUAGCAACAGG
rnacentral:rRNA from 1 species